rnacentral:rRNA from 1 species
AUUGAACGCUGGCGGCAUGCCUAACACAUGCAAGUCGAACGGCAGCGCGGGGGCAACCCUGGCGGCGAGUGGCGGACGGGUGAGGAAUGCAUAGGAAUCUGCCCGGUUGUGGGGGAUAACGUAGGGAAACUUACGCUAAUACCGCAUACGACCUUCGGGUGAAAGUGGGGGACCUUCGGGCCUCACGCGAUCGGAUGAGCCUAUGCCCGAUUAGCUAGUUGGCGGGGUAAGAGCCCACCAAGGCGACGAUCGGUAGCUGGUCUGAGAGGAUGAUCAGCCACACUGGGACUGAGACACGGCCCAGACUCCUACGGGAGGCAGCAGUGGGGAAUAUUGGACAAUGGGCGCAAGCCUCAUCCAGCAAUGCCGCGUGUGUGAAGAAGGCCUUCGGGUUGUAAAGCACUUUUGUUCGGGAAGAAAUCCGUGUGGUUAAUACCCGUACGGGAUGACGGUACCGAAAGAAUAAGCACCGGCUAACUUCGUG